rnacentral:rRNA from 1 species
GACGAACGCUGGCGGCGUGCUUAACACAUGCAAGUCGAACGAAGUGGCGCACGGGUGAGUAACGCGUAAUCAAUCUGCCCUUCAGUGGGGGACAACAGUUGGAAACGACUGCUAAUACCGCAUACUGAAGGAGGGGAUUGCGUCUGAUUAGCUAGUUGGAGGGGUAACGGCCCACCAAGGCGAUGAUCAGUAGCCGGGCUGAGAGGGUGACAGGGCGAAUUGGGCCUGAGUCACGGCCCAGACUCCUACGGGAGGCAGCAGUGGGGAGUCUUCCGCAAUGGAGGAAAGUCUGACGGAGCAACGCGGCGUGAGUGAUGACGGCCUUCGGGGUGUAAAGCUCUGUUAAUCGGGACGCGGUACCGGAAUAGAAAGCCACGGCUAACUACGUGCCAGCAGCCGCGGUAAUUC